GAUGAACGCUGGCGGCGUGCCUAAUACAUGCAAGUCGAGCGAACGGACGAGAAGCUUGCUUCUCUGAUGUUAGCGGCGGACGGGUGAGUAACACGUGGAUAACCUACCUAUAAGACUGGGAUAACUUCGGGAAACCGGAGCUAAUACCGGAUAAUAUUUUGAACCGCAUGGUUCAAAAGUGAAAGACGGUCUUGCUGUCACUUAUAGAUGGAUCCGCGCUGCAUUAGCUAGUUGGUAAGGUAACGGCUUACCAAGGCAACGAUGCAUAGCCGACCUGAGAGGGUGAUCGGCCACACUGGAACUGAGACACGGUCCAGACUCCUACGGGAGGCAGCAGUAGGGAAUCUUCCGCAAUGGGCGAAAGCCUGACGGAGCAACGCCGCGUGAGUGAUGAAGGUCUUCGGAUCGUAAAACUCUGUUAGUAGGGAAGAACAUAUGUGUAAGUAACUGUGCACACCUUGACGUUACCUAAUCAGAAAGCCCCGGCUAACUCCGUG
rnacentral:rRNA from 1 species